AGUGAACGCUGGCGGUAGGCCUAACACAUGCAAGUCGAACGGCAGCACAGUAAGAGCUUGCUCUUACAGGUGGCGAGUGGCGGACGGGUGAGGAAUACAUCGGAAUCUACUUUUUCGUGGGGGAUAACGUAGGGAAACUUACGCUAAUACCGCAUACGACCUACGGGUGAAAGCAGGGGAUCUUCGGACCUUGCGCGAUUGAAUGAGCCGAUGUCGGAUUAGCUAGUUGGCGGGGUAAAGGCCCACCAAGGCGACGAUCCGUAGCUGGUCUGAGAGGACGAUCAGCCACACUGGAACUGAGACACGGUCCAGACUCCUACGGGAGGCAGCAGUGGGGAAUAUUGGACAAUGGGCGCAAGCCUGAUCCAGCCAUACCGCGUGGGUGAAGAAGGCCUUCGGGUUGUAAAGCCCUUUUGUUGGGAAAGAAAAGCAGCAGGUUAAUACCCCGCUGUUCUGACGGUACCCAAAGAAUAAGCACCGGCUAACUUCGUG
rnacentral:rRNA from 1 species